rnacentral:rRNA from 1 species
AGUUUGAAUCCUGGCUCAGGAUGAACGCUGGCGGCGUGCCUAAUACAUGCAAGUCGAGCGAACGGACGAGAAGCUUGCUUCUCUGAUGUUAGCGGCGGACGGGUGAGUAACACGUGGAUAACCUACCUAUAAGACUGGGAUAACUUCGGGAAACCGGAGCUAAUACCGGAUAAUAUUUUGAACCGCAUGGUUCAAAAGUGAAAGACGGUCUUGCUGUCACUUAUAGAUGGAUCCGCGCUGCAUUAGCUAGUUGGUAAGGUAACGGCUUACCAAGGCAACGAUGCAUAGCCGACCUGAGAGGGUGAUCGGCCACACUGGAACUGAGACACGGUCCAGACUCCUACGGGAGGCAGCAGUAGGGAAUCUUCCGCAAUGGGCGAAAGCCUGACGGAGCAACGCCGCGUGAGUGAUGAAGGUCUUCGGAUCGUAAAACUCUGUUAUUAGGGAAGAACAUAUGUGUAAGUAACUGUGCACAUCUUGACGGUACCUAAUCAGAAAGCCACGGCUAACUACGUGCCAGCAGCCGCGGUAAUACGUAGGUGGCAAGCGUUAUCCGGAAUUAUUGGGCGUAAAGCGCGCGUAGGCGGUUUUUUAAGUCUGAUGUGAAAGCCCACGGCUCAACCGUGGAGGGUCAUUGGAAACUGGAAAACUUGAGUGCAGAAGAGGAAAGUGGAAUUCCAUGUGUAGCGGUGAAAUGCGCAGAGAUAUGGAGGAACACCUGUGGCGAAGGCGACUUUCUGGUCUGUAACUGACGCUGAUGUGCGAAAGCGUGGGGAUCAAACAGGAUUAGAUACCCUGGUAGUCCACGCCGUAAACGAUGAGUGCUAAGUGUUAGGGGGUUUCCGCCCCUUAGUGCUGCAGCUAACGCAUUAAGCACUCCGCCUGGGGAGUACGACCGCAAGGUUGAAACUCAAAGGAAUUGACGGGGACCCGCACAAGGCGGUGGAGCAUGCGGUUUAAUUUUUAAGCAACGCUUUUCAACCUUACUAAAUCUUGACAUCCUGUGACAACUCUACAGAUAGAGCUUUCCCCUUCGGGGGACAAAUAGACUAGUUUUUCAUGGUUGUCGUCAGCUCGUGUCGUGAGAUGUUGGGUUAAGUCCCGCAACGAGCGCAACCCUUAAGCUUAGUUGCCAUCAUUAAGUUGGGCACUCUAAGUUGACUGCCGGUGACAAACCGGAGGAAGGUGGGGAUGACNUCAAAUCAUCAUGCCCCCUUAUGAUUUGGGCUACACACGUGCUACAAUGGACAAUACAAGGGCAGCGAAACCGCGAGGUCAAGCAAAUCCCAUAAAAUUUGUUCUUCAGUUCGGAUUGUAGUCUGCAACUCGACUACAUGAAGCUGGAAUCGCUAGUUAAUCGUACAUCACAUGCCUACGGUGAUUCCUUUCCCGGGUCUGUUACACACCCCCCCAGUCCAUACCAACGAGAACUUCGGUAACACCCCGGAGGCCUGGUGAGGAGUUAUCUCUUUUUAAGACACCUAGCCCGUCCAAAAGGUGGGACCAAACUAGAUUGGGGGUGAAAGUUCCUAACCCAGGUUAACCCGUUAACCGGAAAGGGGCCCG